GUUUGAAAAGUGCAAGGAAGUUAUUCACAAUAAGCCAACAAGGAUGAAUGUAUUGGAUAAAGGGCUCGACGAUUUGUUUGUCAAGUUAUCUGAUACAACGGCAGCCUCGGUGGAGCAUGGCAACUCUACCAAUGAAGACGGUGAACCUAGCACUGGAGUUCAUGUUUUAGAUCCACAUAUUUCGAAAUCAAGGGGCAGGCCAAGAGAGAAUCGUGUGAGGAGUGCCGCCGAGAAGAAUCGAGGGCGAAGUAAGAAUACUCGAGGGGGGAGUACAGGAAGAGUUGGAAAAGGAGGUAGAGGUGGAAGGGGUGUUGCUGUCGGGCACGACGCCAAUGUUGGAACAAAAGAGAGUGCCGCUAAUUAG
rnacentral:lncRNA from 1 species